rnacentral:rRNA from 1 species
GAUGAACGCUAGCUACAGGCUUAACACAUGCAAGUCGAGGGGCAGCACAGUGUAGCAAUACACGGGUGGCGACCGGCGCACGGGUGCGUAACGCGUAUCCAACCUUCCCGAUACUCUUGGAUAGCCUUCCGAAAGGGAGAUUAAUACAAGAUGGUGUUUCACUUUCGCAUGUUAUUGAAACUAAAGAUUUAUCGGUAUCGGAUGGGGAUGCGUGACAUUAGAUAGUAGGCGGGGUAACGGCCCACCUAGUCUACGAUGUCUAGGGGUUCUGAGAGGAAGGUCCCCCACACUGGAACUGAGACACGGUCCAGACUCCUACGGGAGGCAGCAGUGAGGAAUAUUGGGUCAAUGGUCGGAAGACUGAACCAGCCAAGUAGCGUGAAGGAUGAAGGUUCUAUGGAUUGUAAACUUCUUUAUACGGGAAUAGAACCUCCCACGUGUGGAGCUUGUAUGUACCGUAUGAAUAAGCAUCGGCUAACUCCGUG